UCAAGUGAAGAAGCGCAUACGGUGGAUGCCUUGGCAGUCAGAGGCGAUGAAAGACGUGGUAGCCUGCGAAAAGCUUCGGGGAGUCGGCAAACAGACUGUGAUCCGGAGAUGUCUGAAUGGGGGAACCCAGCCAUCAUAAGAUGGUUAUCUUGUACUGAAUACAUAGGUGCAAGAGGCGAACCAGGGGAACUGAAACAUCUAAGUACCCUGAGGAAAAGAAAUCAACCGAGAUUCCCUUAGUAGUGGCGAGCGAACGGGGACCAGCCCUUAAGUUGUAUUGAGAUUAGCGGAACACUCUGGAAAGGGUGGCCAUAGUGGGUGAUAGCCCUGUACGCGAAAAUCCCUUUGCAAUGAAAUCGAGUAGGACGGGGCACGAGAAACCUUGUCUGAAUAUGGGGGGACCAUCCUCCAAGGCUAAAUACUACUGACUGACCGAUAGUGAACCAGUACCGUGAGGGAAAGGCGAAAAGAACCGCGGAGAGCGGAGUGAAAUAGAUCCUGAAACCGUAUGCGUACAAGCAGUGGGAGCCCACUUUGUUGGGUGACUGCGUACCUUUUGUAUAAUGGGUCAGCGACUUAUUUUCAGUGGCGAGCUUAACCGAAUAGGGGAGGCGUAGCGAAAGCGAGUCUUAAUAGGGCGUCUAGUCGCUGGGAAUAGACCCGAAACCGGGCGAUCUAUCCAUGGGCAGGUUGAAGGUUGGGUAACACUAACUGGAGGACCGAACCGACUACCGUUGAAAAGUUAGCGGAUGACCUGUGGAUCGGAGUGAAAGGCUAAUCAAGCUCGGAGAUAGCUGGUUCUCCUCGAAAGCUAUUUAGGUAGCGCCUCAUGUAUCACUGUAGGGGGUAGAGCACUGUUUCGGCUAGGGGGUCAUCCCGACUUACCAAACCGAUGCAAACUCCGAAUACCUACAAGUGCCGAGCAUGGGAGACACACGGCGGGUGCUAACGUCCGUCGUGAAAAGGGAAACAACCCAGACCGUCAGCUAAGGUCCCAAAGUCAUGGUUAAGUGGGAAACGAUGUGGGAAGGCUUAGACAGCUAGGAGGUUGGCUUAGAAGCAGCCACCCUUUAAAGAAAGCGUAAUAGCUCACUAGUCGAGUCGGCCUGCGCGGAAGAUGUAACGGGGCUCAAACCAUGCACCGAAGCUACGGGUAUCAUCUUAUGAUGAUGCGGUAGAGGAGCGUUCUGUAAGCCUGUGAAGGUGAGUUGAGAAGCUUGCUGGAGGUAUCAGAAGUGCGAAUGCUGACAUGAGUAACGACAAUGGGUGUGAAAAACACCCACGCCGAAAGACCAAGGUUUCCUGCGCAACGUUAAUCGACGCAGGGUUAGUCGGUCCCUAAGGCGAGGCUGAAAAGCGUAGUCGAUGGAAAACAGGUUAAUAUUCCUGUACUUCUGGUUAUUGCGAUGGAGGGACGGAGAAGGCUAGGCCAGCCUGGCGUUGGUUGUCCAGGUUUAAGGUGGUAGGCUGAGAUCUUAGGUAAAUCCGGGAUCUUAAGGCCGAGAGCUGAUGACGAGUGUUCUUUUAGAACACGAAGUGGUUGAUGCCAUGCUUCCAAGAAAAGCUUCUAAGCUUCAGGUAACCAGGAACCGUACCCCAAACCGACACAGGUGGUUGGGUAGAGAAUACCAAGGCGCUUGAGAGAACUCGGGUGAAGGAACUAGGCAAAAUGGCACCGUAACUUCGGGAGAAGGUGCGCCGGUGGAGGUGAAGCAUUUACUGCGUAAGCCCCUGCCGGUCGAAGAUACCAGGCCGCUGCGACUGUUUAUUAAAAACACAGCACUCUGCAAACACGAAAGUGGACGUAUAGGGUGUGACGCCUGCCCGGUGCCGGAAGGUUAAUUGAUGGGGUUAGCGCAAGCGAAGCUCUUGAUCGAAGCCCCGGUAAACGGCGGCCGUAACUAUAACGGUCCUAAGGUAGCGAAAUUCCUUGUCGGGUAAGUUCCGACCUGCACGAAUGGCGUAACGAUGGCGGCGCUGUCUCCACCCGAGACUCAGUGAAAUUGAAAUCGCUGUGAAGAUGCAGUGUAUCCGCGGCUAGACGGAAAGACCCCGUGAACCUUUACUAUAGCUUUGCACUGGACUUUGAAUUUGCUUGUGUAGGAUAGGUGGGAGGCUUUGAAGCGUGGACGCCAGUCUGCGUGGAGCCAACCUUGAAAUACCACCCUGGCAACUUUGAGGUUCUAACUCAGGUCCGUUAUCCGGAUCGAGGACAGUGUAUGGUGGGUAGUUUGACUGGGGCGGUCUCCUCCUAAAGAGUAACGGAGGAGUACGAAGGUGCGCUCAGACCGGUCGGAAAUCGGUCGUAGAGUAUAAAGGCAAAAGCGCGCUUGACUGCGAGACAGACACGUCGAGCAGGUACGAAAGUAGGUCUUAGUGAUCCGGUGGUUCUGUAUGGAAGGGCCAUCGCUCAACGGAUAAAAGGUACUCCGGGGAUAACAGGCUGAUACCGCCCAAGAGUUCAUAUCGACGGCGGUGUUUGGCACCUCGAUGUCGGCUCAUCACAUCCUGGGGCUGAAGCCGGUCCCAAGGGUAUGGCUGUUCGCCAUUUAAAGUGGUACGCGAGCUGGGUUUAGAACGUCGUGAGACAGUUCGGUCCCUAUCUGCCGUGGACGUUUGAGAUUUGAGAGGGGCUGCUCCUAGUACGAGAGGACCGGAGUGGACGAACCUCUGGUGUUCCGGUUGUCACGCCAGUGGCAUUGCCGGGUAGCUAUGUUCGGAAAAGAUAACCGCUGAAAGCAUCUAAGCGGGAAACUUGCCUCAAGAUGAGAUCUCACUGGAACCUUGAGUUCCCUAAAGGGCCGUCGAAGACUACGACGUUGAUAGGUUGGGUGUGUAAGCGCUGUGAGGCGUUGAGCUAACCAAUACUAAUUGCCCGUGAGGCUUGACCAU
rnacentral:rRNA from 2 species